GGAGAGCACUAUUCCUGUCAACACUGUCGGCUCUGACUCGGACUUGGGGACCUGUUCUAGACCCCGGAGACAGAGUGAUGAAUGAGAUCAAGGCUCUGCCCUGUGCUGUCCGGUGAGCAAGACACGGAAUAAACAGCACACAACGAAUGAAGAAGAUAAUGUCUAGGAGUGAUCACUGAAGAUGUUAAAAAAGGAAUGCGUGAUAAAGAAGACUGGAGGAGGCAGCUACUCAUCAAGGAAGCCAUUGUAUCCAGAAUGCACUGAGCAAGGAGCUAAGUGAAGAGCGGCGAGGUCGGCAGGGGUGAGACCAUUCUGGUGGACCCCAAAUUCUCAUCUUAGUAGGAUGCAGUGGGGGUUACGGAAAGGUUUUAAAUGAGGGAGGGGCACGAUCUGGUUUGUGGUUUAAAAAGAUUGCUCAGGCAAAGUGGAAGCAGGGAGGCUUUUCGUGUUGCACAGGAAACACGCUU